rnacentral:rRNA from 1 species
CGGUCCAGACUCCUACGGAAGACAGCAGUAGGAAAUAUUGUACAAUGGGCGCAAGCCUGAUCCAUCCAUGCCGCGUGAGUGAAGAAGGCCCUCGGGUUGUAAAGCUCUUUUGUCCGGAAAGAAAAGCAUCGGGUUAAUACGCCGGUGUUCUGCCGGUACCGGAAGAAUAAGCACCGGCUAACUUCGUGCCAGCAGCCGCGGUAAUACGAAGGGUGCAAGCGUUACUCGGAAUUACUGGGCGUAAAGCGUGCGUAGGUGGUUCGUUAAGUCCGAUGUGAAAGCCCUGGGCUCACCCUGGGAAUGGCAUUGAAUACUGGCGGGCUAGAGUGCGGUAAAGGAUAGUGAAAUUCCUGGUGUAGCA